rnacentral:rRNA from 1 species
GACGAACGCUGGCGGCGUGCCUAAUACAUGCAAGUAGAACGCUGAAGGAGGAGCUUGCUCUUCUGGAUGAGUUGCGAACGGGUGAGUAACGCGUAGGUAACCUGCCUGGUAGCGGGGGAUAACUAUUGGAAACGAUAGCUAAUACCGCAUAAGAGUAGAUGUUGCAUGACAUUUGCUUAAAAGGUGCAAUUGCAUCACUACCAGAUGGACCUGCGUUGUAUUAGCUAGUUGGUGGGGUAACGGCUCACCAAGGCGACGAUACAUAGCCGACCUGAGAGGGGGAUCGGCCACACUGGGACUGAGACACGGCCCAGACUCCUACGGGAGGCAGCAGUAGGGAAUCUUCGGACAUGGACGGAAGUCUGACCGAGCAACGCCGCGUGAGGGAAGAAGGUUGUCGGAUCGUAAAGCUCUGUUGUAAGAGAAGAACGAGUGUGAGAGUGGAAAGUUCACACUGUGACGGUAUCUUAACAGAAAGGGACGGCUAACUACGUG